rnacentral:rRNA from 1 species
GAUGAACGCUGGCGGCGUGCCUAAUACAUGCAAGUCGAGCGAACAGACGAGGAGCUUGCUCCUCUGACGUUAGCGGCGGACGGGUGAGUAACACGUGGAUAACCUACCUAUAAGACUGGGAUAACUUCGGGAAACCGGAGCUAAUACCGGAUAAUAUAUUGAACCGCAUGGUUCAAUAGUGAAAGACGGUUUUGCUGUCACUUAUAGAUGGAUCCGCGCCGCAUUAGCUAGUUGGUAAGGUAACGGCUUACCAAGGCAACGAUGCGUAGCCGACCUGAGAGGGUGAUCGGCCACACUGGAACUGAGACACGGUCCAGACUCCUACGGGAGGCAGCAGUAGGGAAUCUUCCGCGAUGGGCGAAAGCCUGACGGAGCAACGCCGCGUGAGUGAUGAAGGGCUUCGGAUCGUAAAACUCUGUUAUUAGGGAAGAACAAAUGUGUAAGUAACUAUGCACGUCUUGACGGUACCUAAUCAGAAAGCCACGGCUAACUACGU